GAAUUUUUUAUGAUGGGCCCUUCUUUGUGGGCCUCUCAUAGUGAACCCAUGCCACAGUAUAUUGCAUCAUUGAACCAUUGCCCAACCUCCUUACCUGUGGGCUGUGAGCACUGAAGGGGGUUUUACAGUA
ensembl:snoRNA small nucleolar RNA SNORA42/SNORA80 family